AUCUCUCAUCAGGACCAGUCUGACUGCACCUGCAUCCUUAGCUCAGAGCAUCCCUGGAGCAUCUAAGAGGAAAGCGCAGCUAGCAACCAGGGAUCGUACUGCAGGGGCAAUCGGUCAUGCACCUUCCCCUCCCCUGAUCUGGAGGUCUACAGCCGCGGCCUCGGUACUGACCGAGAUUCCCAAAGUUGUCUGACCUCUGCAAAAGUGUUUCUAUCAACAGCCUCUGAUUACAACAUGGCUGAGAUCACAAAUAUACGCCCCAGCUUUGAUAAAAAAACAUUACACUUUGGUUAUUCGCUCUGGAUGCCAGUGAGAUGUCUCAAUAGACAAACCUGCCCCUGAGCCUGCUGAUGGCCUGAACUUACUUCCUGGGACCCACAUGGUAGAGGGAGAAACAACAGCCAAAGCUGUCCGGUGUACUAUGACACCUCCAGAUCCUAGCAGUGACCUCAAGGUCUCCAAAGAAGAUGAUGGGUCACAGAAGAACUCCACCUGGAACAUGCUUUAACUGUGGCGAGGACAGCUUCUAUGAAACACUGCCCUUCACCUUGCCCACGGCACAGCCUCUACGAACUGAGGACCAAGUGCGAUACUGGGGAGCUGACUGGCCCACUUUGCCUAGACAACAUAGACUGGUCCUCCAAGCCCCUCCUCCACAGGAAGGUCUGUUGGAUCUUUUGGGCCUGAUGGCCAAAGGCUGUCCAUAGAGCUUGAUUGUCAGGUAGCCAGUAAGGAUCUAUUAUGUUUAAUAGACUCAGGACCUACUUGAUGUAUACUUAUUGAAUCACUGUUGGGUUCCGAGCUCCUACUAUGACUCAAACACGUGAGUCUAUUGACUUUUCUGCAAUGUGGAUCUCAAUAGAAAUUACACAGUGGUAAUGCUAACAUAUGUAAAAUUUUAUCUUUUGAUAAACUUAAAAUUCUUGUAAGUUGAA
rnacentral:lncRNA from 1 species